GGAAGUGUCAAUUUAAGAGCAACGGGCGCGGAUUAAAGAUUGCUUCGAACGUGAUUAUCAUACAUUCAUUUCAGUUGCUUUGUCAAAGACAAGAGGGAGUACUACAUCAAUCAAACACGGACCUCCGGACGGUAUUCGGAUUGCGACGGCAUUCGAUUGUCUUCCACACUCAACGGAGCGGGACCGGCUUGCAACCUUUCUUCCUGCACUGCUUCUGCCCAAAUUCCUCAGAUAUCAAGAUUGUGGUGGCAGCACUGUGCGCCUACAGAACCUACAAAAGGACGCUACACCCCUCAGAUCACUGCAGUCAGCGGCUUGUUUGACUGUUACUCAUAUCUGCUUCUGAUGUAUGAAUAGGCACUGUCAUGGUGGAUGCUGCCUCUGAGAUAAGACCUGAACUAGCCUACCAUUCAGAAGACGUCUGUGGAAAGAAGUACUCAUACCUCGCGCCUCCAGAAUCGCAUGGAAAUCGCGUGAAGCAGUAUGCUGUGCGCCACAGCAAGCCCAUACAUGAGAGGUACGCGUCGUUGGCUAGCAGAAAAUCAUCGUUCGACAUUUAUCCUGCAACUGCGAAAGGAGACACAGAAAAAAUGGCAAAAGCUGGAUUCUUCUACACUGGUGCUCAAGAUCGCACAACCUGGUUUCAGUGCGGCAGCUAUAUUUGCAGUUGGAGCGAUGAAGACGACCCAUUAUUUGAACACGCCAGGUGGUACAGGGACUGUCCUUACGUCAUUCUGCAGCUUGGUGAUGAGGCUAUCGAGAACAUUAGACGCGAACACAGCAAUACACUGGCAGAGGUAAUUUACCCUCCGCCCGCGUUAAAGCUGCCCAACCUAGAGGAAUCUAGUGAAUCAAGCGCUUGUACAACCGCAGCGUGUGCCGUGAUAAUAGCAUAGGGCGCAAAUUGUACGUAGUAGCUGAGUUGUGGCAGGUUGCUUUGGGGUGUUUGUUUACAGCCUUCUGUUCCUGUAUUUGGUGGUCAUUUCCCCCUGCAAGCGCUCCUCCUUCACUGUGCAUACUGAACAUCCUAAGUUGUUUUGUUCUAAAUUUGCUAAAUAUUUUUCGAAUGAUUUACUUCGUUGUACACUGCACCUUCCCGUUGUUGUUUUGUCGUACGCAUUUUCUGCAUGCUUUCCUGCUGUUCCGUUCCUGGUGGUUUUGUUAUAAAGAUCUCACUGAAUGCUUUGCGGUUGGAACAACAACAACUUUAUUUUGUCUCUGAAGAGUGGGGAGGUUCAUCGCCAGAGGGGAUACUCUACCCUAUUGCUGGUGGGGAUGCAGGGAAUAAAAUAACGAGCCCCUUCACAAUAACGACCGAAGUCCGAUGGUGUCCAGAAAUGUCAAAAGAGCUUUGAGCGCAGAUCAUUGCUGGGCUGGAUUGGGUCAGGGACCAAGCAAUUUCGAUAGAGAGAAAGAGCGAGAGUACAGCUGACGAAGAGACCCGGAGAGUGCGGUUCGGUAAGGGUGGUAGUUGGGGCAAUGAAGAAGAAUAUGCUCCUGAUCCUCAAGAGCACCACAGUGGCAGCAGGAGGGAGAGUCAACUUGUCUCAAGCGGUAACGCCAGUGAGCUGUAAAGCAGCAUGGUAGAAAAGC